GUGAGGAAUAUUGGUCAAUGGGCGCAAGCCUGAACCAGCCAUCCCGCGUGCAGGAAGACGGCGCUAUGCGUUGUAAACUGCUUUUCCAGGGAGAGAAACUUGCGCACGUGUUGCGCAAUUGACGGUACCCUGGGAAUAAGCAUCGGCUAACUCCGUGCCAGCAGCCGCGGUAAUACGGAGGAUGCGAGCGUUAUCCGGAUUCAUUGGGUUUAAAGGGUGCGUAGGCGGACUAUUAAGUCAGUGGUGAAAUCCUGCAGCUUAACUGCAGAACUGCCAUUGAUACUGAUAGCCUUGAGUUUGGUUAAGGUAGGCGGAAUGUGUAAUGUAGCGGUGAAAUGCUUAGAUAUUACACAGAACACCAAUUGCGUAGGCAGCUUACUGAGCCGACACUGACGCUGAGGCACGAAAGCGUGGGGAUCGAACAGGAUUAGAAACCCUAGUAGUCC
rnacentral:rRNA from 1 species